AUUGAACGCUGGCGGCAUGCCUUACACAUGCAAGUCGAACGGCAGCGCGGACUUCGGUCUGGCGGCGAGUGGCGAACGGGUGAGUAAUGUAUCGGAACGUACCAUUCAGUGGGGGAUAACGUAGCGAAAGUUACGCUAAUACCGCAUAUUCUGUGAGCAGGAAAGCAGGGGAUCGCAAGACCUUGCGCUGAUUGAGCGGCCGAUAUCAGAUUAGCUAGUUGGUGAGGUAAAGGCUCACCAAGGCGACGAUCUGUAGCGGGUCUGAGAGGAUGAUCCGCCACACUGGAACUGAGACACGGUCCAGACUCCUACGGGAGGCAGCAGUGGGGAAUUUUGGACAAUGGGGGCAACCCUGAUCCAGCCAUGCCGCGUGAGUGAAGAAGGCCUUCGGGUUGUAAAGCUCUUUCGGCCGGGAAGAAAUCGUAUGGGUUAAUACCCUGUGCGGAUGACGGUACCGGCAUAAGAAGCACCGGCUAACUACGUGCCAGCAGCCGCGGUAAUACGUAGGGUGCGAGCGUUAAUCGGAAUUACUGGGCGUAAAGCGUGCGCAGGCGGUUUUGUAAGACAGGCGUGAAAUCCCCGGGCUCAACCUGGGAACUGCGCUUGUGACUGCAAGGCUAGAGUAUGGCAGAGGGGGGUG
rnacentral:rRNA from 1 species